rnacentral:SRP_RNA from 1 species
GCCGGGUGCGGUGGUGCGUGCCUGUAGUCCUAGCUGCUCAAGAGGCUGAGGUGGGAGGAGUGCUUGAGCCCAGGAGUUCUGGGCUGUAGUGCGCUAUGCCGAUCGGGUGUCCGCACUAAGUUUGGCAUCAAUACAGUGACCUUCCGUGGAGCGGGGGACCACCAGGUUGCAUAAGGAGGGGUGAACCGGCCCAGGACGGAAAUGGAGCAGGUCAAAACUCCCAUGCUGAUCUGUAGUGGGAUCCUGCCUGUGAAUAGCCAUUGCACUCCAGCCUGGGCAACAUAGAGAGAGCCAUCUCU